CCUACGGGAGGCAGCAGUGGGGAAUAUUGCACAAUGGGCGCAAGCCUGAUGCAGCCAUGCCGCGUGUAUGAAGAAGGCCUUCGGGUUGUAAAGUACUUUCAGCGGGGAGGAAGGCGAUAAGGUUAAUAACCUUGUCGAUUGACGUUACCCGCAGAAGAAGCACCGGCUAACUCCGUGCCAGCAGCCGCGGUAAUACGGAGGGUGCAAGCGUUAAUCGGAAUUACUGGGCGUAAAGCGCACGCAGGCGGUCUGUCAAGUCGGAUGUGAAAUCCCCGGGCUCAACCUGGGAACUGCAUUCGAAACUGGCAGGCUAGAGUCUUGUAGAGGGGGGUAGAAUUCCAGGUGUAGCGGUGAAAUGCGUAGAGAUCUGGAGGAAUACCGGUGGCGAAGGCGGCCCCUGGACAAAGACUGACGCUCAGGUGCGAAAGCGUGGGGAGCAAACAGGAUUAGAUACCUGGUAGUCACGCCCGUAAACGAUGAAUUGCUAAGUGUUAAAAGGGUAUCCACCCCUUUAGUGCUUGUGGCUAACGCAUUAAGCACUCCCGCCCUGGGGGAGUUACCUCGCAAGAAGUUGAAACUCAAAGAAUUUGACGG
rnacentral:rRNA from 1 species